rnacentral:rRNA from 1 species
UACAGAGGUCUCAAGCGUUGUUCGGAUUCAUUGGGCGUAAAGGGCGUGUAGGUGGCGCCGUAAGUCGGGUGUGAAAUUUUAGAGCUUAACUCUGAAACUGCAUUCGAUACUGCGGUGCUUGAGGACUGGAGAGGAGACUGGAAUUUACGGUGUAGCAGUGAAAUGCGUAGAUAUCGUAAGGAAGACCAGUGGCGAAGGCGGGUCUCUGGACAGUUCCUGACACUGAGACACGAAGGCCAGGGGAGCAAACGGG